UACGUAGGGACCAAGCGUUGUUCGGAAUUACUGGGCGUAAAGGGCGCGUAGGCGGAUAGUUUAGUUGGGGGUGAAAGCCCGGGGCUCAACCUCGGAACUGCCUUCAAUACUGGCUAUCUUGAGUACGGGAGAGGUGUGUGGAACUCCGAGUGUAGAGGUGAAAUUCGUAGAUAUUCGGAAGAACACCAGUGGCGAAGGCGACACACUGGCCCGUUACUGACGCUGAGGCGCGAAAGCGUGGGGAGCAAACAGG
rnacentral:rRNA from 1 species